AAGGUCGUAACAAGGUUUCCGUAGGUGAACCUGCGGAAGGAUCAUUAAUGGGUUAUUGAACUUAGGUUCAACCUCCCAACCCUGUGUCAAAUUUACCAUGUUGCUUUGGCAAGGCCAGUCUUUUGGGCUGCCGGGGGCUCUUGGAGACCUCUGGUUUGUGCUUGCCAGUGCCCCAAAUUAAAAAUCUCUUUUGAACCAUUUCGUCUAAGUCAAAAUGUUAAAUAUUUAAAAG
rnacentral:misc_RNA from 1 species